rnacentral:rRNA from 1 species
UACAGAGGCCUCGAGCGUUAGGCGGAAUCACUGGGCUUAAAGCGUGUGUAGGCGGACUUCUAAGUACCUUGUGAAAUCCCACGGCUCACCCGUGGAACUGCUUGGUAUACUGGUUGUCUUGAGCCUUCUAGGGGCGAGUGGAACAAAUGGUGGAGCGGUGAAAUGCGUAGAUAUCAAGAGGAACACCUGAGGUGAAGACGGGUUGCUGGGCUGACACUGACGCUGAGUGCGCGAAAGCUAGGGGAGCGAACAGG